rnacentral:rRNA from 1 species
GGGCUUGACAUCCCACGAACCUGCCUGAAAGGGCGGGGUGCCCGCAAGGGAGCGUGGAGACAGGUGGUGCAUGGCUGUCGUCAGCUCGUGUCGUGAGAUGUUGGGCUAAGUCCCGCAACGAGCGCAACCCUCACCCCUAGUUGCCACCGGGUAAUGCCGAGCACUCGAGGGGAACUGCCAGCGUCAAGCUGGAGGAAGGCGGGGAUGACGUCAAGUCAUCAUGCCCCUUACGCCCUGGGCUACACACGUGCUACAAUGGCCGGUACAAAGGGACGCAAGACCGCGAGGUGGAGCUAAUCCCAAAAAGCCGGUCUAAGUUCAGAUUGCAGUCUGCAACUCGACUGCAUGAAGGAGGAAUCGCUAGUAAUCGCGCAUCAGCCCGGCGCGGUGAAUACGUUCCCGGGCCUUGUACACACCGCCCGUCACACCACGAAAGCUGUCUGUACUCGAAGUCGCUGAG